rnacentral:rRNA from 1 species
GACGUAGGGCGCAAGCGUUGUCCGGAUUUAUUGGGCGUAAAGAGCUCGUAGGCGGCUUGUUGCGUCGACCGUGAAAACCCGCGGCUCAACUGCGGGCUUGCGGUCGAUACGGGCAGGCUGGAGUUCGGUAGGGGAGACUGGAAUUCCUGGUGUAGCGGUGAAAUGCGCAGAUAUCGGGAAGAACACCCGUGGCGAAGGCGGCUCUCUGGGACGGUACUGACGCUGAGACGCGAAAGCGUGGGGAGCGAACAGG